CGCCUACACAUCCUGUUUCUAGUGUCUCUGUGUCUGGAGAUCUCUCGAACUUUCUAAGCACCGCUUUUUCGUUGUAGUGAAGGACAGCUUUCCAUUCAAUGUUUGUGAGUAUAAGCACGAUUGACAAAACAAUACUUUAUUUUAUUAUUUUAGUCUGUUUUAUUUAUUUUUAAUUUAAUGUACUUUAGAUGUGAUUUUAAGUUUAUUUUUUGGCAUUUAUUCUUAUUCUGAUACACUUGUAGCACAUUGGUCAACUUCGUUGUAUAAAAAUGCGUUAUAAAUAAAGUUGUCAUUGCCAUUGCUAUUCUGGAAAUAACUAUACGCCUGAAAUGCAGAAAGUUAAUUCCUUGGAUGGACUGCUGUUCUUUAUGAAAAUCCAGCAAUAGUUUUCCAGAAUGUUUGGAUGUAUAGUGGCCGGUAGAUUGGUCCAGACAGAUCCACAGCAGGUGGCCAGUGACAAGUUUGUCUUCAGCCUUCCAGACUGUGAGAAUGUCAACCAUGUGGUAGUCUUCAUGCUGGGCACGAUGCCCUUCCCCACGGGCACAGGUGGGGCAGUUUACUUCUCCUUCCCGGACCCCAAUACCAGCCCAGUGUGGCAGUUGCUUGGGUUCAUCACCAAUGACAAGCCCAGUGCCAUCUUCAAGAUUUCAGGCUUGAAGGCAGGUGUGGGCGGAGAACAUCCCUUUGGAAUGAUGUCUGCAUCCCACAUGCCCUCAGUGGCCCAAGUGGGUGUGUCUAUUGAAUCCCUCGAGCAGCUGGCUCAACAGACUCCUGUAUCCAGCGCCAGUGUCUCUACUGUGGAUUCCUUCACACAGGUUCAAGCACCACCACACAAGCACAUGCACAUUAAUUCACGCAGAAGAUGCUGCAGAGCCUCUACAACUUCUCCUCUUCCUUUGCUGUGUCUCAAGCUCAAAUGACCCCCAACCCUUCAGAGAUGUUCAUCCCUGCCAGCUCCCUCCGUCGAUGAACUGGCUCCAGGAUGCCUUGGUAGUCUUGACUUCAUUGUGCCUGCACAGAUUCAAGGUUCCCCGUGCCAGAUGCAGCAAAGCAGCUCCAAAACAUAACUGAGCCCCCUCUGUGUUUCACAGUAUGAAAACUUUGAGAGAAGAAUGACCCAGAACCCGAACUUCUGGAAGACAUGAGAUUGUGGAGCAGUUUUAAAAUGGGUUUAAAUUGAGUUGUCUUUUAAUAAAAUUAAAAAUGUAAAGCAUUUUUAUAGGUGUUGUAUAUGUAUAUACAUUUUUUUUUUCUUUUUUUUUGCAUCCAACCUUGAUAAAAUGAGACGAAAUUCUGCUCAA